CUCUCUCUCUCUCUCUCUCUCCUAUAUAUAUAUAUAGAUAUAUUAUAUAUAUAAUAUAUAUCCGUAUUUCCCCACCUCUCUGCCUGAUUGAUCUCAUCUCUCUUCUGAAUUUCCCCCCCUACUUUUGUCCCUCUUCUCUCUUCCUAACCCUAAGAAAUCUCUAGGUAGAUUCUCAAGAGAAGACAACAAAACAUCAAUCACUGAUUUUGGGCAUAUAAGAUGCAAGGGUUGGGUGCUGAGAACCCACAAACAAGCACGACCGUGGAUCCCCGGACAUCUAUCAUCGUCCAUGAUCCCCUUAAUCUUGAUUGAUUGCUCUCCAACACCAUGUCCAAGUUCGGACUGUUAGUCACCGUACGCGCUCUAUUAAGCCACCAAUUCAUUGAGAGUCACCAUGCCACGGGCCACCUGGAGUUUUCUUGCUCCAUUGUGAGACACCAUGUAAUGAACUGGAUUUUUCCUCGCUCUCUCAUGAGGUAUCCACGGCCAUGAAUUUGUCUACUUGAUGGAGAGUUAUUUUGUGAGCCCGCGAUCACUGUAUGAGACCUGGAGUGUCUGCCCAUGUAUCAUCGGUAAUCGACUCUGAUAUCACUUCCCAGGAAAUUCAGGGAGCCCCAUUCGUUGGGGAAAUCUGUGAAAUCCACGUGCACAGGAUUUGGACCAAAUACACUGCAAGUGGUGAGUCCAUUCAAUCCAUGUUAGGAUCCAAUCGUUUAUUCAUAUUCCGAAUUGGGACUUUCUCAUUUCAAGUUCACACAGCCUAUUCUUUCACGUGAAUAGACAACCAUGUUCAAUUGAUUUGGAAAGCAUCCCCAAAGGUAUUUAUCAAUAUGCUUACCAGAGCCGCUUAUAUUAGGAACUGAGGGACGCCUUGAUGUUUUUAAGUGGUUGUGGUGGUCAAUUCUUUCUUUGGUUGGUGCACUGACAGCUUCUUCACAAAUUGGCCUAAAAUGCAUUGCUAUAGCUCAGAGGAUGUAGCUGUCUGGUAGGUGGGACCCUAUCGAAGCCACUUUAAAUGCUUUCGUGGAUUAGAUAGUUUGUAGUGUAUUUGCAUAGCUAAUACAUGGAGUAGAUUUGCCAACGUGUCAUUGAUGAUCGGACCUUUCCAUGACUCUAUAUGGUUUGGACGAGCCAACACCUUGUAACUAAUCCCACCAAAAGAUUGACAAAGCAGAAGACUAGCCUGAUGCAACGGAGGGAGGAACUGUUUUUUCAUCCUUGAGCUGAUUGGGAUAGUGAACUUCGACCGGGCUUUGUUUUGUCCCUUCUAUUGGCUAGUCCGGCUUUCGCUGUUUUAGGUCUUUUGUACAUCUUUCUUUUACGUAUUUCCUGUGCUAUUGUUGCCCUCUUCUCUUGAUAUGCUGGAGCUUUUCAGUUAAAGAGUCAUAAGCUAAUUGAACUAUCUAUGAUGACGAUAGGAAGCUAAAUUCUUGUUCUGUUUCUAUUUGUUCUCUUGUUUAAGAAUAAGAAGAUUAAAAAAGUGGCCAUUGAACUCCUGAAAUUCUGAAUUGGGAAAGCAGACUAAUUUCUGAAAAAAAAUUGCUUUUAUAUUACUAAAAAGAAGGUAUAAUGACAAAAUAGGUUACUCUGAGGCACAACUUUCAUUGAAACUGAAGGAAGCCCAAAACAGAUCAAUUUGAAGCCCAUUGAAAUUUAACGAAUAAAUCUUUUCGUUUGGACGUUCUGGUUGGUUUCCCCUUUUCCCAAGGUUCUUUAGAUGUUUGGUUCUCUUUCUUCUAUAUCUGUGGCUGAUUCUCAGAGGUCAGCUCUGCCCCUUUUCUUGUAUUUUAGUUUUCUUAUUUUUUUUGGUUUAGGUAAUUCAUAUUAUAUAUAUAUCUAUAUACUAAUAACUAUGUAGCACGGACACAGACACAAAUACGGACACGGACACGGUAUUUUUGAAAAAAUGGACACAAACACGGCAGGGGACACGACAUAUAAUAUUAAUAUAAAUACUGAUUAUAAUAUAUGUUUCUUGAUAACACUAAAAGUAACAUUCUAUUUCUAACCUAACAGUUACAACUUACAACCCAAUUGAAAGAGAAAUAUCCAUAGUUCCAUAAUAUAAGCAAAAUAAAUAACCUAAGGCAACAUGAACCUAUCUCCAAAUUUUAACUAGACCCAACUUCCAUCACUUCAACUCGCUAUUGAUUCCCUCAACACUCAUUUGUCCGUUAAAGACUAAUUAUAAUUUUGCCCAUAAAGUUUAAAAAAUUGCAAAUGGGAACCCCGCCGUUGUCCCCCUUCAAAAAAUAUUAGAAAAUUCGGACACGCCACGUAGGUGGCCCAUACGUUUUUUUGCGUGUGUCCCCGCCGUGUCCCCGUUGCUCUCCCAAACGUCAAAUUACAAAAAUUUUUUUAAAUGUCACCUUCUAGGAGUGUCGGUGUUUCAUAGACUAAUAAAUUGUGAGUGCACAGUAAGUAACAUGUUUAUCACCAACUUCUUUCCCUUUUGCCCAUGCUUAAUUUUUUUCAGUGUAAAUUACAGUUUCAAUCCCUA
rnacentral:lncRNA from 1 species